rnacentral:rRNA from 1 species
AUUGAACGCUGGCGGCAUGCUUUACACAUGCAAGUCGAACGGUAACAGGCCGCAAGGUGCUGACGAGUGGCGAACGGGUGAGUAAUGCAUCGGAACGUGCCCAGUCAUGGGGGAUAACGCAGCGAAAGCUGCGCUAAUACCGCAUACGAUCUAUGGAUGAAAGCGGGGGACCGUAAGGCCUCGCGCGAUUGGAGCGGCCGAUGUCAGAUUAGGUAGUUGGUGGGGUAAAGGCUCACCAAGCCAACGAUCUGUAGCUGGUCUGAGAGGACGACCAGCCACACUGGGACUGAGACACGGCCCAGACUCCUACGGGAGGCAGCAGUGGGGAAUUUUGGACAAUGGGCGCAAGCCUGAUCCAGCAAUGCCGCGUGCAGGAAGAAGGCCUUCGGGUUGUAAACUGCUUUUGUACGGAACGAAAAGGCUCUGGAUAAUACCUGGGGCUCAUGACGGUACCGUAAGAAUAAGCACCGGCUAACUACGUGCCAGCCGCCGCAGUAACAC